UACGGGGGGAGCAAGCGUUGUUCGGAUUUACUGGGCGUAAAGGGCGGGUAGGCGGCCACCGCAAGUCAGUUGUGAAAUCUCCGGGCUUAACCCGGAAAGGUCAACUGAUACUGCGGGGCUAGAGUGCAGAAGGGGCAACUGGAAUUCUCGGUGUAGCGGUGAAAUGCGUAGAUAUCAAGAGGAACACCUGCGGCGAAGGCGGGUUGCUGGGCCGACACUGACGCUGAAGUGCGAAAGCCAGGGGAGCGAACGGG
rnacentral:rRNA from 1 species